GACAGGGAAAAUAGAAACUGGUAGAGAGGCAGAACCCCCCCCCCCAAAAAAAGGGAACAUAGAGGUAAGGAAAAAAUCAGGCUACAUCAGAGCUAAACUCAACAUCCAAGCGGAUAGCAAGAGCUAAAGAGGACAGUAAGAGAACCGAACAGACAACUCUGCAGACCAGAGAACAUGUCAUCCAACGCACAACGACAGGGACAUGGAAACUUUAACUGUGACAGCAACACAGCAAGAGGUUCUUGUUAAAUAUUGAUGCUGACAGGCCACUCUGGAAAGAGCUGGCUCCUUGCACCACAGAAGGGGGAAACAGAAGGAAGAAGAAGAAGAAACACAGCAGAUUUUUUUAUUCUAAGGGAAAUUACACAGAAAUAGACAACCUGUUAAGUGCGUCAGAUGACAGCCAAGGGGUGUUACACUGAAAUGUUGCAGAUUGAGACAAGAGAUACAAAUUAGCAGAGAAUCCUGGAGGUUUUUUCUUUUUUUUUGGCCAGCUUGUGCAAUUUCUCGGGGACAGUGGAAUAACUACAGAGAGAAGAACGGGAUCUUCAUCAUGUGUGGGAACAUCAAGGAAGAAGAAACUUAACAUUUGAGAGAUCACUGAAACCACAAGACUGGAACAAUUUCUUCUUUUCUACGAGAACAAGAACCAGCCCUGGCUGAUGAAUACACGUUUCUAUUUUGGACUGGCAUGCUGUACCUGCUUUGACAACCACUCUGGGGGCACAUCACUGCCAGAUGAGAAAAGCUAAACACUUCUGAAGCAUUCAGACAUGUCGCCUAUAUUUAUUUUGUCCUGAACUAAUUGGAAAUGUUCCAGCUAGCUCUGAAAAUGUCCUCCUCACAGAGAUUUGGCCACUGGGGAUUUGCUGUUAUGGCUUGAGGAAAUAUAAGUGUGGAAAUGUUUUGAUGUGCAGGAUCCUUUGAGUGGAAGCAGGAUGUAUACUUCAAUUUCGUCUCCAUGACUUAACAAGCCAUCAUGGGUGAUUCUCCAACUUGAUGUCAUCAAGAAAUUAAGAUAGAGACUUCCUUCAGUUUGACCUGAAUCACAGAUUCCUCAAAACAUCACGACAAUAACGCAGGUUGACAAAACGUCGUCUCCAUUCAGCUGCGGAUAGACCAGCUGCAUGUUUAUGUGUGUGUGUGGCUGUGUGGGGGAGUAAGGACUGUCGAGGAGCUCGGCUGUGUUUGUAUGUACAGUAUGCUUGUGUGGGUGUGGGUGUAGAGGUGUGUGUGUGGGUGCGCCAAGCUUUGAACCCAGCUGAGUGUCUGAGUGUAUUUUCAAAGCAUCGCCCAGAGCAGUGUGUGUUUGUGUUUGUGUGUGUGUGUGUGUGUGUGUGUGUGUGUGUGUGUGUGUGUGUGUGUGUCUGAGUGUGUGUUGCCUGGAUUCUCCCCACCAGUGACAGAGCUGGACCUGAACAGCAGUAGUGAGAGCGGGAACAGGGAGGGCGAGGAAGAGGAGGGGAGGGAGGAGAAAGAAACCAGCAAUACGGAGGAGAAGAACAAACUGACAACAUGCUCGGAUAAAGAGGGGAAGGAAAGGAGCUUUAGGCUGCGCCCCUGGUGCAAUGUGUGGCAUCGCGCCCUGUGGGGGUGGGGUUCUGUGAUGGUAACCAUGGUCCCCGGCAGCCGCUAUGUCUGCAGCGCUCACGCGAGAGAGGAAGACUCCACGAAUGACCGCGAGGAGCGAAUUCUAGCCGUGCUGGGCAUCAUUGGGACCAUCCUCAAUCUUUUAGUGGUCAUAUUUGUCUACAUCUACACGUCUGUCACCUAAGCUUGUCUGCAGGACUUGAACGAGGGACAUUGGCGCAGAUCCACAACUUUUUUCCACACUGCCACCUCCCUCUUUAAGUAUUCAUGUACUGAUUGAUUAUUCAGCUCUCUGUGAACUAAAAACUGCCGCCAAUCACAGAGAAGGAGCAACAGUUGGACGUCCCCUUUAAAUCGCAUCCUCCCAUUCUUCAAGACAAUUUUGCAUAAUAGCUUGCCAACUGCUGACAGUUUGUUAGGUGAUAUGUUCACAUUGAUCCAUGACUGGGGCAUAGCAUUCCUGUGAGCUGAGCUCUUAAGUGUCUUUGAUCUGAUGGUGGUCAUAUUAGACUGUGCUGCAUCUCCCACCUUGUCACAUGCCAUAUAAAAGUGUGUGGUUUCUGUGUUUCAACAAUCCAGCACCUUUGUGACAUUUAAGAUACUAUCACUGCCAGUUAAAUUUUACUAAAUGGUGUGACAAAAGAGGCACACUAGUGGCACUCCGCUAAAACUAUUAAAAGGGACCACAAUUGCCAAGUGACUUGUCAACAAAGGAUCCGUUAGGCUACUCCUGAGCACCUUUCAAUCUCCUUGAAUCAAACACUGAUACCGAUGUGCAGACGCUCACCUGCACGCAUUGCUAAAUAUCCGUUUCUGUAGUUAGUAGCAUCACUGAAAAAGUUUUACAUGGACCUAACGUGUCCAUACCUGAGCACACCAGAGGAGAGAUUCCUGGCUGUGCUAGGAGUCAUCGGCAUCGUGCUUAACCUCCUGCUGCUCGUCUUCGUCUAUAUAUACACUUCCACCUGAUAUAUGUGCCUAAACAUAGUAUCAGUUAUGAGAUAACUUGCCGCACCUAACAGCACCUGUACCUAUAACUGCCAGGUGUGUCAGUGAUCAACCACACAUGUGUAUAUAUUGUACCCAAGCCCUGGUUCAUAGCUGAUCUGGGGAUUAUAUGAUAUUCUAAGGUGGUUUCUGUGCCUAAUAAUGGAGUGACACUCUAAUAAUAGUAGGAACAUGUUGAUUAGAAGGUGACGACAGGAUUCAGAGGCAGUUAUAUGUGUUCACAGAGUCAUUUAUAACAGAAAUUUACCUUUUUUAUAUAAACCUGUGUCAUACAGUUAGUGUUUUCGUUUAUACAGCGGUCUUUCACAUAUGUGCAUGUUGAGAUGUUUACUUAUUGGUAUAAUCUUUAUUACGCUUUGAUCAAAUCACCUAAUGUAAAGACUACCAUUUUUACAGUAAUUCUGUUAGUUCUACAUGCUUAUUGACGUUAAAAACACUCAGAUAUGGAAGGAUUUAAUUGUGCUGAAGUUUCAGUCUGUGCAGCAGCUCCCCACACUGUCAAAUAUCCCUCUGUGGAAGGUCAGUGCCACAGAAUAAUGGUCUAUUUUCUGGUGUCAUGUUUCUGUGAUUGGAUCUGUAAGCCAGGCACGGAGUGGCAUCAGAGAGGGCCAAGCGUGGAACUGAGACAAUGUCACACAAAUCAAGACAGAGUUCUGUCACAGCGCAACACAAAAAAAUGCAACAGUGGCAAAAGAAUCAGGUUGAACUACUGUGGAUUGUUUGAAAAAAGAGGACACAAAACCUCUGUGCGAGCCCUCACCAUCUGUCUCGAAACUCACGAAGGCACGACAAACUCCCUGGGAUUUGGUUACAACAUUUCCACUGGAGCUGCAUGUCACUAUGGAUUUGAUUUUAGGUUUAAGUGCUGUGCCUCUAAUGGAGGAGCAAACCUAAAUGCAGUUGACAAGCGAGCAGCGAGGGCUGGCCUGAAUCUACACUUCAUCCUCGUCAUUCUCUUCUCCACCAACAAGCUAACGCCGGAGAAGACAUAGUACUGAGAGGAUCCACUUGAGUUUCUGCUGUCAUUCCACAUAGCACAAUACUACAAUACUACAGCGCAGAUGACCACAGACACUCUGACGGCUCACUUAACCUACCGCAAUUUUACAUGUUAGCUUGUGAGAUUAAGUAUCGAGAUUUUGCGUAUAAGAUUUCUUGUUGCAUUGUGUAUGUAUGCUCUUAGUUUUAGUAUUGAGUGUUUUGUUUGGACAGGUUUCCAAGCUAAUCCAAAAGUCACUAUCACAACACUGGAAAAUGUUUGGGAUGAAAUCAACAAAUAUCUGUAGUGCUGGUGGCCAAGGUCUAUUUUUAUAAAGUGUAGAAGGUUCAGAUUAAGUAUUUCCACGGCCAUGUUUACAGAACGUUGAAUGAACAUGUGGCCGCAGUUUUCCCUACAGGAAUAAUUAGCUUUUACUAAGAAUUAUUCGCUGCUUUGUUGAGUUCAACAGCAAAGCGGACGAAACAGGUACAUAUUUCAGUUGCCUGUAAUGCAUAAGUGCCAUGCCUUAGGACUCUUUCUCACUCGCAUAAACGCUGAGAUAUAUCUAACACAAUGAGAUAAACACACUUAAUCUAACUUAUUUGGAAGAAAAAAUUCAGCCAAAUUGUUGGCAUUAAUACCCACACUGCCUGUUGUAAAUAUCCAUUGAUAUCCAUGAGUUCAGAGUAAUUCAGCUAUGGAAAUGAAACCCAGAUUCUAAUAAGGCAUUAUUAUUAUUAUAUGCUAAAACUAAGCCUUAAGACGUUAAACAGCCCUUUGGAGAAGUGAGAACCAGCCAAAAUAUCCCCAGAAUAUUCUCAAUACCUAAAAUUCAAUUUGGUCCUCACAAAGAUAGACAUACCAGUCCACACACUAGCUACUUGCAUCUCCUUUCAUGAGUUUAAUUUUACACUAUCUUUCAGCACACAUCAGGAGAUUCAACCGUCAUCGUCCUGAGAUCGAUGCGACUCGCACAUUUACUUCCUGUCACAUCUCAUACAGUGGAGUUUGUUGAGCUAAAUCCAUUUUCAGUGUGCACCAAAGCACAGUAAGAGCCACCUUUGGUUUUGCCAGACAUCUGCUGUCAGACUUUGACAGACGAAGCCACAGCUGUGCAGAAACAUGUUUGGAUCUAUUUUGAAAUACCUGAAAGUACUGGAGAUAUUAUUGGUUCACUCUGUGCUGCCUCUAAACGGUCACUUGAUGUUGGCAGACAGACAAAAUGAACAAGCAUACUGUGUUUAGCUCAGGUUUUCUUAGAUACUAAAGGUUUAAAGGUACCACUUUUACCAAUAGCAGUUUUCAAAGGCCAGCAGUAAAACAAAUAUUUUCUAAACUGAAACAACUUAAAGUCAUUUAUUUUGUACAAAUAUUAAACCUUUUAAACUUGACAAUUUUCAUGCCAGAAUAUUAAGUAUAUAUUAAAAAACUGUCUAACACUGUUAGCUGGUAUAUUAAGCCUAGCUCCAUGGCUACAGCACCUAAUACAUGUUACUGUGUAUUCUGCAUGCAGUUCAAGUUUUUGUAGGAGACCAGCUUUAACAUGACAGAUUCCCUGCCAAGCAGGCCAGUGAGAGGAGAGAGCCUAGAGGGCGAGUCCUGGCCAUCUGCUGUCCCAACAGACAAGUAGCCAUCUCCUCAAUGUACACACACACACAGCAUGUACUUUUUUAACUAUUCAACUCAAACGAGUUUUAAAUUCUUUAAGAUUAAUUUGAUGCCUUUUAUGUGCACACACAUAGACACGCGUUAUGUUAUGGAAAUAGCCUUUGAUGCCGGAGGAAAAACAGGUGCAUCAGAGUAUACCUGGGACUCCUAGCCACUGCCCCAGGCAUGGAUUGUUAACACAAAGCACUGAAAACAAGAAAACAAUGCUCAAAGACAGGCAAAUGUUCAUUCUUAGUCUGAGCCAGCCAGCGACUGUGUUAUGUUCGGCCAAAGUAAAGACGGAUUCUCAUGUUUUUUCAUGAAGCUUGAGCUGAAUUGAUUUUUAGCCUGAGAGGGCACAUUGAACACAGAUUCUCUGAGACUAGAGAAGAGAAAAUAAUGUGGACAAGAGAUGGUUUAAUGUUAUUUCAGAGCAGCAAAGCUGAAAAAUAUUGAGUUAUCUCAGAUUCUGGCAAAAUUAUUAACUAAUUAAAAUUAUAAUUCUGAGAAAGAAAGGAAAAAGCACUGCUCUGCAUGGGAAGGCUUAAUUGUUACUGCCCAGCUUUGUCCACAUUUAGCUACAUUUGCAGGAUUUGGUGCAUUAGCUGUAGCACAACCUGAAUAAAAAAGUUGAGAAAAGGUCCUGGCAUGCAUGAAAAUGUUUGCUUGUUUCACAUUUCACUUUACUUUUAACUGCAAAUGAUUCCCUGAGCAGACAGGACCAAUUGCCAGAUGUAAGAAAGCCCCAGAAAUUAUCAACAUUUUGUGUGACUGGGCUGACUUUUUCUGACUAACAUUCCAGGACAUUAUCUGCCACAGUACUAAUCAAGCAAAGCAGGAGAUCCAGAAUGACUACCCCAUCGAUAAUGCUUCUGUCAACAAGUGUUAAAGUUAUUUUUUCAAAGAAAAGAAACUUCAUCCUCUAGAAUUGUGCAAAAACAUUAUGUCAAUUUCUGAUGAAAAUGAUCAAGAACAGUCCUUGUUACAGUUCUUGAGAGUUACCAUUGAACAAAUGCAGUGAGAUCUGGUGUACUUUCAUGUAAAAUUUAUGUGUAUAAAAGGUAUAGUUAUAGCAAUGCCAAUAAAAAUGAAAAACACCA